AUAGCAACAGCAAAUUUAUCUCUUUUCUCCAGUCUCAGCGGCGCAACCCAAAUUGAGAAAAAGAGGCCAACCACUAUUAUGGCGGCUCAGAUUUCCAAAUAUCGAAAUGUCCCACCGCCGAUCAAACCCGCACUGAUUUUGUUGAUGAUGGGGUGCUCUUUGCGGAGCUGAACAAUAUGUUUCACGGCGAGAGCUAACAAAGGCUGGCUACUCCGGCGUCGAAUUUAAGGUUACGCCGGUGCCAAUCGAGAUCAUCAUCGUAACUCGGAACAGUUUGACCCUUUGUUACAUGUUUAGCUUUUAACUCUCGAAGGUGACAACGGGAAGAAGAUUUUGGGAAGUGACAGAUAUGUGGUUCAGAGGUGGUUUAAGUUUCCGGUGAAAACUGAAAAGAGUAGAGCUUUGUGUAGGGAAAGUUAACAACUAUGGGAUUUGGGCAAUUGCUCAGACAUAGUCUUUGUGUUACAAGCAUCUAGGCAAGCCCACAGGGUGUUCUUGGGAUUAAGGUGAAAAUCAUGCUUGAUUGGGAUCUGAGGGAUAAGUAAGCACACAUAACACCCCAACCUGAUCUGGUCUAACCAACCCAUUGAGGAAGGUACAUCAGCCCCCCAUACAAGUGUCUUAAUCUCCCUAAGUGCCAGUUGUGGUCGCCACCUAGAAUUCACAAGUUUAGUUUC